rnacentral:lncRNA from 1 species
CCGGCUUGGCGGGGCUCCUACUGGGUCUGGGCCUCCUCCCGGGUUGGCGGACCUCCUCCCGGGGCCGGGCCUCCUCCCAGGUCUGCGGGCCUCCUCCCGGGGCCGGGCCUCCUCCUGGGUCCGUGCCUCCUCCCGGCUUGGCGGGGCUCCUACUGGGUCCGUGCCUCCUCCCGGCUUGGCGGGGCUCCUACUGGGUCUGGGCCUCCUCCCGGGUUGGCGGACCUCCUCCCGGGGCCGGGCCUCCUCCCAGGUCUGCGGGCCUCCUCCCGGGGCCGGGCCUCCUCCUGGGUCCGUGCCUCCUCCCGGCUUGGCGGGGCUCCUACUGGGUCCGUGCCUCCUCCCGGCUUGGCGGGGCUCCUACUGGGUCUGGGCCUCCUCCCGGGUUGGCGGACCUCCUCCCGGGGCCGGGGCUCCUCCCGGGUCGGCGGGGCUCCUCCCGGGUUGGUGGGGCUCCUCCUGGGUCCGGGUCUCCUCCUGGGUCUGGGCCUCCUCCUGGGUCCGGGCCUCCUCCCGGAUCAGGGCCUUCUCCCGGGUCGGCGAGCCUCCUCCCGGGGCUGGGGCUCCUCCCAGGUCGGCGGGGCUCCUCUGGGGUCCCGGCCUCCUCCCAGGUCUGCGGGCCUCCUCCCGGGUCCGGGCCUCCUCCCGGGUCAGGGCCUUCUCCUGGGGCUGGGGCUCCUCCCAGGUCGGCGGGGCUCCUACUGGGUCUGGGCCUCCUCCCGGGUUGGCGGGGCACCUCCUGGGUCCGGGUCUCCUCUUGGGUCUGGGCCUCCUCCCGGGUCGUUGGGCCUCCUCCCGGGUCCAAGGCUCCUCGGGGUCCGGGCCGCGGGCCGGGGUGGUUACGUGCGUGCGGAGCAAAGGCGCCCUGGCCGCAGAGGCGGGAAGCGUUACUUCUCGCAAGCGUAUUUGCAAAGAUUUAUUUUGAAAACCGGAAUACGCAAGAGUGGGCAGUGUGAUGAACCCUCUAUCCCCAUGGUUAGUACACUAGUCGGAUUUUCUUGGUUUUGA